AUUUCUCAAUGAUGAUUUUUACCUACAUUGCUUGAGGACAACCUGUGAGAACAAUAAAGUGACUGAGAGAAAU